rnacentral:rRNA from 1 species
UACGUAGGGACCGAGCGUUGUCCGGAAUCAUUGGGCGUAAAGAGCGUGUAGGCGGCCAACUAAGUCCUGCGUGAAAUCUCGGGGCUCAACCCCGAGCGGUCGUGGGAAACUGGUUGGCUAGAGUGCGGGAGAGGAGAGUGGAAUUCCUGGUGUAGCGGUGAAAUGCGUAGAGAUCGGCAGGAACACCCAGGGGGAAACCAGCGGACUGGCUCGCAGCUGACACUGAGGUGCGACAGCGUGGGGAGCGAACGGG